rnacentral:rRNA from 1 species
AGCGAACGCUGGCGGCAGGCUUAACACAUGCAAGUCGAGCGCCCCGCAAGGGGAGCGGCAGACGGGAGAGUAACACGUGGGUACGUACCCUUCAGUUCGGAACAACCCAGGGAAACUUGGGCUAAUACCGGAUACGUCCGAAAGGAGAAAGAUUUAUCGCUGAAGGAUCGGCCCGCGUCUGAUUAGCUAGUUGGUGAGGUAACGGCUCACCAAGGCGACGAUCAGUAGCUGGUCUGAGAGGAUGAUCAGCCUCAUUGGGACUGAGACACGGCCCAAACUCCUACGGGAGGCAGCAGUGGGGAAUAUUGGACAAUGGGCGCAAGCCUGAUCCAGCCAUGCCGCGUGGGUGAUGAAGGCCCUAGGGUUGUAAAGCUCCUUUACCCGGGAUGAUAAUGACAGUACCGGGAGAAUAAGCUCCGGCUAACUCCGUGCCAGCCGCCGCCGUAA